UACGAAGGGGGCUAGCGUUGCUCGGAAUCACUGGGCGUAAAGGGUGCGUAGGCGGGUCUUAAGUCAGGGGUGAAAUCCUGGAGCUCAACUCCAGAACUGCCUUUGAUACUGAGGAUCUUGAGUUCGGGAGGGGUGAGUGGAACUGCGAGUGUAGAGGUGAAAUUCGUAGAUAUUCGCAAGAACACCAGUGGCGAAGGCGGCUCACUGGCCCGGUACUGACGCUGAGGUGCGAAAGCGUGGGGAGCAAACAGG
rnacentral:rRNA from 1 species